GGGAGCUGGAGGCUCCUUGGAGAGCCUGGGAUGCGUCUUGCUAAAUUACAGCGAUGGAAAUCUCGGCUGCCUCCUGCCUUAGCAGGAUUCUGAGCAAUGAUCUGGAGCCUCAGGACACAAGGAAAUGGAGGGAGAAAAGAAGAUUAUUCAGGUGCUGUAGGAAGCUCUGCCAGCACGUGUGUGAAGCACUCAGGUUAACGACCCAUAAUACAGCUGCCAGCACGGCUCUGUCUACAGGGGCAUUUCACGGAGCCGUGAUUGUUUGCUGUAGCUCUCACGUUUAUGGCUGCUACUGAAACUGCUGGAAAGAGAGCAGCUACCCAGUGUUCCUCAGCACUCCCAGAGAGCUCGCCUUGCUUCCCACUCGGCUUAAAGGCUGCUAGACCUGAACUUUUCCCAGUGAAAAUGGCAAGAAAGACCUGGAGAGUGUGGAGCCAUGCAGGGGAGCCCUUAGAGCCCCACGGAACCUGGAGCAGCCCUUUAAUUCCUCUCGCUUUGGUUCCUGCCGCUGCUCGGGGGCUGUUGGUGGAGCAGCUGUGACAAAUGCUGCUCCCCGAUGGAGCAGAGCUGAGUGACACAAAACUUCACCUGCCCACGGGGACCCCGCUGCCUCCGCAGCCUCGUCAGAAAUGUUCCCCUGCAUUUGUUUGGAAAACAUCUUUAUCCAGCCAGGAGAAAUGUCCCUUGAAGUCAGCUAACCAAAAAAAUAAAUAACAGUCAAAGACAAUCCAGAAAGGAAGAAAAAAGCAAAAAAAAAAAAAGGAAAAGGUUUCUAGAGGGAAAUAAGUGAUGGAUUGGAAGAGAUUUGGGGCUGUUCUGUCGUACAACUCCGUGCAUGAUGUGACAGCAGAAUCCUCACUGCGCUGCUUCCUGUCUCCCACUUUAAAUGAAGUCCUAAAAAUGCUGAUUUAAAAGGGUUGAAGAAACAAAGUGAAAUAUUCUGAUGUGCACUGUGGAUGUUUUUUAGCCCUUCUGAACUUUUCUCAUGAUAUACUUGCUGGUGGUUGUGUCAAAAUAAAGCUCCUCAGCCAAGGUGCAGGAGGGAUGGGGGAGCUGUGAGAAGUUUUUCAGUGUUCCUGCAAAAAUCUGAGCAAGGAGAGGAAUAAUUUCACUUCCCACAUAUAAUAAUGUCCAACAACAGGAACCCUGACCUGGAAUUUGUCUUUGCUUUCCAAAGGCAUCCCUGAGCCAUCUGUGGAGAACAGAGGAAAAUGUUGAUUAAUACCACUGUUAAUGAAAAUAAACACAGGAUAACAUUCCAAGGAACAUGAUUUCUUCUCAAAGCAUCCAAGGAUAGCAACAGAUGCAAUAAAGCAGAAAUUCACUUUUGCUGCCAAGGGAUAACGUUUCCUGCUUUGGACACAGGCCUUGGGGAGAACACACCACCCUUAGCAGAGCAGCCCGUGACCUUGAGGAUCUUGUAGGUUUGCAAAAACAUCAUCUCAGACCUGAAUGAUGCCAAGGGAAACUUCUCAGCCCCUGUGAAGGGCUCAAUGUCAUCUCCUCACCUGCCUGGGACCUGGAUGCUCUUCCUGUUCAAUGGAAAUGUCCAUUGGCUUUUUCCAUCUGACUAUUUAUCUCAUUGAUUUGACUGAAGGAAUCAUGGGAUUGAAAGAAAAUUAAUAGUUCCUAGCCCAGCCAGCUCCUUAUUUUGAUUCAUUCCAUUCUUGUCACUUUGAGUGAACUAAAUAAUUAAUUGUGUUACCAAAAAUAAUUAAGGCUAAUAUCAGACCAAUUACACUGGCCAAUUGUAACAAUAAUGUUGGUAAAAACAUCUAAAUAACCUGAUAUGUAAUUAUAGUCUGGCUGUUCAGUUGUGUGUAGGUUUGGGGCUUUCUCUCCCACCAAAUUUUGGCCAGCCACAUUGAUUAAAUGAGAACUUUUUAUAGCUAGUGUUCAAAUUAUCAAAUACUUGCCUAAAGCAAUCCCAUUGAUCAAGUGUAUCAUUUGUAAUACAAAUGUUUUUAUUAGGAGGCUUUGUUCAAGAUAAAUGAAGGAUCAAAUUAACUGGAGAUUGGAUUGAGUAGAAAAUGCUGCAGCUGGAUAAUUUCAAGCACUGAGGCUGAACAUUUCUUUCAAAUGAUGAGAAGUCAUCAACUAAGUCUUAAUA